rnacentral:lncRNA from 1 species
AUGGCAUUUUGCCAUUUCAGGAUCCCCCUUACGUUGGAGAAAAAUCCCAUGGGCAAGUUACUAUUGGAUACUAUUAUACCCAUUUUGUGUCAACAGAUAAACACAGUACUCCACAAAUGUGAGGUCCAGGACACUGUGUUAUCUACUGCUAUUCUUUUAAGUUGGUUAAAAGGAAUAUUUUUUACAAUUCUGGCAUUGUGUCAAGGUAGGUCAGGAAAUAAUCAGUGCUCUGAUUUAUACAGGAAUGGGUCUCAAGAUUUUUUGACCAUACGUAACUGGAAGCCUGCUAAAUAGUGCUCUGGAGUGGAAGUGCCAAAAGCUGAAACAGCCAAAUACCUUGGACUUUUUCAGACAUGCUAGUACAAUUUCAAAUAACAGCAAGCAUCAAAAAUUUGUCUAUUAUUAUUAUUAUUAUUAUUAUUAUUAU